CCUACGGGGGGCAGCAGUGGGGAAUAUUGGGCAAUGGGCGCAAGCCUGACCCAGCAACGCCGCGUGAAGGAAGAAGGCUUUCGGGUUGUAAACUUCUUUUAAGGGGGAAGAGCAGAAGACGGUACCCCUUGAAUAAGCCACGGCUAACUACGUGCCAGCAGCCGCGGUAAUACGUAGGUGGCAAGCGUUGUCCGGAUUUACGGGGUGUAAAGGGCGUGCAGCCGGGGAGACAAGUCAGAUGUGAAAUCCACGGGCUCAACCCGUGAACUGCAUUUGAAACUGUUUCCCUUGAGUGUCGGAGAGGUAGUCGGAAUUCCUUGUGUAGCGGUGAAAUGCGUAGAUAUAAGGAAGAACACCAGUGGCGAAGGCGGAUUACUGGACGAUAACUGACGGUGAGGCGCGAAAGCGUGGGGAGCAAACAGGAUUAGAUACCCGAGUAGUC
rnacentral:rRNA from 1 species